AGCUUGCUGGGCGGAUUAGUGGCGAACGGGUGAGUAAUACGUGAGUAACCUGCCCUUGACUCUGGGAUAAGCCUGGGAAACUGGGUCUAAUACUGGAUACUACUUCUUGCCGCAUGGUGGGUGGUGGAAAGGGUUUUACUGGUUUUGGAUGGGCUCACGGCCUAUCAGCUUGUUGGUGGGGUAAUGGCUCACCAAGGCGACGACGGGUAGCCGGCCUGAGAGGGUGACCGGCCACACUGGGACUGAGACACGGCCCAGACUCCUACGGGAGGCAGCAGUGGGGAAUAUUGCACAAUGGGCGGAAGCCUGAUGCAGCGACGCCGCGUGAGGGAUGACGGCCUUCGGGUUGUAAACCUCUUUCAGUAGGGAAGAAGCGAGAGUGACGGUACCUGCAGAAGAAGCGCCGGCUAACUACGUGCCAGCAGCCGCGGUAAUACGUAGGGCGCAAGCGUUGUCCGGAAUUAUUGGGCGUAAAGAGCUCGUAGGCGGUUUGUCGCGUCUGCUGUGAAAGCCCGGGGCUCAACCCCGGGUCUGCAGUGGGUACGGGCAGACUAGAGUGCAGUAGGGGAGACUGGAAUUCCUGGUGUAGCGGUGAAAUGCGCAGAUAUCAGGAGGAACACCGAUGGCGAAGGCAGGUCUCUGGGCUGUUACUGACGCUGAGGAGCGAAAGCAUGGGGAGCGAACAGGAUUAGAUACCCUGGUAGUCCAUGCCGUAAACGUUGGGCACUA
rnacentral:rRNA from 1 species